UACAGAGGGUGCGAGCGUUGUCCGGAAUCACUGGGCGUAAAGGGCGCGUAGGUGGCCCGAUAAGUAGGGGGUGAAAUCUCGAGGCUCAACUUCGAGGCUGCCUUCUAAACUGUCGGGCUUGAGCAGAGUAGAGGCAGGUGGAAUUCCCGGUGUAGCGGUGGAAUGCGUAGAGAUCGGGAAGAACACCAGUGGCGAAGGCGGUCUGCUGGGCCGUUGCUGACGCUGAGGCGCGACAGCGUGGGGAGCAAACAGG
rnacentral:rRNA from 1 species